CCUACGGGAGGCAGCAGUGGGGGAUAUUGGACAAUGGGGGGAACCCUGAUCCAGCGACGCCGCGUGAGUGAAGAAGUAUUUCGGUAUGUAAAGCUCUGUCAGCAGGGAAGAAAGAAAUGACGGUACCUGACCAAGAAGCCCCGGCUAACUACGUGCCAGCAGCCGCGGGAAUACGUAGGGGGCAAGCGUUAUCCGGAAUUACUGGGUGUAAAGGGAGCGUAGACGGUUAAGUAAGUCUGGAGUGAAAGGCCGGGGCCCAACCCCGGGACUGCUCUGGAAACUAUUGAACUUGAGUGCAGGAGAGGUAAGCGGAAUUCCUAGUGUAGCGGUGAAAUGCGUAGAUAUUAGGAGGAACACCAGUGGCGAAGGCGGCUUACUGGACUGUAACUGACGUUGAGGCUCGAAAGCGUGGGGAGCAAACAGGAUUAGAUACCCUAGUAGUC
rnacentral:rRNA from 1 species